AUUGAACGCUGGCGGCAGGCCUAACACAUGCAAGUCGAGCGGCAGCGCGGGGGCAACCCUGGCGGCGAGCGGCGAACGGGUGAGUAAUACAUGGGAAUCUGCCUGGUAGUGGGGAUAACUCUGGGAAACUAGAGGUAAUACCGCAUACGUCCUACGGGAGAAAGGGGGGGAGUCUUCGGACCUCUCGCUAUCAGAGGAGCCCAUGUCCGAUUAGCUAGUUGGUGAGGUAAAGGCUCACCAAGGCGACGAUCGGUAACUGGUCUGAGAGGAUGGUCAGUCACACUGGGAACUGAGACACGGUCCAGACUCCUACGGGAGGCAGCAGUGGGGAAUAUUGGACAAUGGGGGCAACCCUGAUCCAGCCAUGCCGCGUGUGUGAAGAAGGCC
rnacentral:rRNA from 1 species